UUUUUUUUUUUUGUAUAAUCUCAUUUGUUUGUUUUUGCUAUUGUUUAUCUUGCCUUUGGAAUCAGAUCCAUAAAAACACUGCUAAGACCAAUAUCAACAAGAACAUUGCCUAUGUUUUCUUCUUAGAGUUUUAUGGUUUCAGGUCUUAAAUUCAAGCCUUUAAUCUAUCUAGAGUUAAUCUUUGUGUAUGGGGUACGACAGUAGUCUACUUUUUUUUUGUAUGUGUCUGUCCAGUUCUCACAGCACCACAUACUGAAGAGAUCUCCAUUGUAUGUUCUUUGCUCCUUUGUCAUAGAUUAAUUGUACAUAUAUGUGUGGGUAUAUUUCUGGUAUCUGAAUUCUCUUCCAUUGAUUAUAUGUCUGUUUUUGUGCUACUACCAUACUGUUUUGAUUACUAUAGCUUCAUAGUAUAGUUUGAAAUCAGGGAGUGUCAUACCUCCAGAUUGGUUCUUUUUUCUCAAGAUUGUUUUGGUUAUCUGGUGUCUUCUGAGGUUUCAUAAAAUUUUUAGAAUUCUUUGUUCUAAUUAUGUGAAAUAUGGCAUUUUGAUAAGGAUAGCAUGGAAUUUGUAGAUUGGUUUGGGCAGUAUGAAUCAUUUAAGAAUAUCAAUUCAUAUUAAUUCAUCCAAUCCAUGAACAUGGAAAUUGAUGCAUAAUAUGAUAAGAGGAAUAGUGGGGAGGGGACUAGCUAUGUUAAAUAAAAUUCACAGAAAAGCAUGGUAUUUCAGUUGAGCCAUGGAAUUCAAGGAGGUGGAUAUGAAAAGAAUUUUUAAACAGAAAAAAUUAUAAAGUUCAGUAUGGCUAUAUCACAGUCAUAGAUGUCUACUAAAUAUCUCAAACUCAACUAAAGAUGCCCAAACCAAACCUUUGAUUCCUGUUCCUGGUAAGUCUGAACGUUUAGAAAUCUCUCCUGAUUCCUUAAAAGGAAACAUCAGAGUUCCAGAGGCUCUGGCUAAACAUUUUUGAGUCUUACUUGAUUCUUCUCUUUCUUUUAUUUCCAAUGACAAAACUAUUAACAAAUCCUAUGGCUCCAGCCUCAGAAUAUAUCCAGAUUUCAAUCACUUCUUUUUUUUUUUUUACAUGCAAAAAGAUUAGAUUUUAUUUUAUAAGUGAGCAGAGUAAUGUUAUGUCUAAUUCUGAAAGUAUUAAGAAAACAUUUGAUUUUGGAGGUAUAUUGUUUUAGCAUAUGCAAUAUAUUAAAUAAAAAUAUAUUAUCACUUCUUAAAUCUACCAUGACUUCCACCCUAGUCCAAGACACUAUCAUCUUUUUCCUGGAAUUUUGCAGUGGUCUAAUAAAUAAUCGUCCUUCUUCUGAUCUCUUCCCUUACCCAAGUAUAGUCUCGACAUGGAAGAAAAAUCAAUAAUAUCUAUCAAAAUUCAAAAUAUAUAUGUCCAACAACCUCAUGCUACGAAUUUAAAUAAAGAAUAUACUCAUAAAUUUCACGAGUUUACAGGCAGAAGAAAGUUUAUUACAUCAUAGCUUAUAAUAGUGACACUAAUAAUAGGGAACUAUUUUAGUUAAGCAUGAUACAUCCAUAAAAUUCAUGAUGCAGUUGUACUUAACAGUGGUAACUCUGCAUGUGCGAAAAAGCAAACAAGAAAAGCCCAAAAUAAUGUGGUUAUGGAAAACUACAGAAAAAUAAGUUAUCCUAAAUGUCCCUUUAUGUUAGUAUGUUAAAAAGAGCAUAUAAGUGGGUACAUAUAUGUAAUUAGAUACUUUUUUACAUAAGGAAUUACAUGAAAGUGAUGUUUUCAAUGUUUGCAGCAACAGGAGACUUUCCAUAUUUCAUGAGUUUAAAAUACUUGAUUAUUCUAAUCUUCACCAAAUACUAUACUUAACAUUUUAAAUUUAUCCUGAAAAAAUUUAGACAUACAUGGGGACCUGCUGUAAAGCACAGGAAACUCCACCCAAUAUUCUGUUAUAAUCUCUAUGAGAAAAGAAUCUGAACAAGAAUGGAUGUGUAUACAUGUAUAACCAAAUCACUUUGUUUUAUAGCAGAUAUUAUUGCAACAUUGUAAAUUAACUAUACUUCAAUAAAAUUUUAAAAAACAGAAAAAAUCAGACAUACAAACAUAGAAUAAUACAGUGAACUAUUUCAACCCAUCAUUCAAGUUGAAAAUCAUCAAAAUCUGUCAGUCUUGUUGCAUCUGAGUCCUUUUGGCCCAACUUGCCACUUUUUUUCCCACCCAACAGUUAUUAUUGGGGAAGGAUGGUAAUGGAAUAUAUUUUAAUUUCCUUCAUUUCAUUUUAAUAUAUUUAAAAUAUAGCUGAAUACACAGAAUUAGAUUAUCACUGACGUGAAGGAUAAGUUGUAGGGAUAAUAAUGAAGGUAGGGGUUUAAGAGGGACAAUCUUCAGUGGUCUGCAUGAGAGAUUAGAUGUCAUUUUGUGGGGCUACAUUUCUUUCUAAUUUCACUAAUAAUCCUUUUGAUUCCUCCAUUCUUUCAACAAAUCCCAUUCUUAUCUCAUUAAGUGAUUAAGAAAAAACCUAAAGUAAUUCUAAAAUAUUUUUACUGGUUAUAUUUUAUAUUUGUUUAGAAACUGAAUUGAUUAAGAAAGUCACAGAACUAGGAAUUUCCAAAGGAAAAGUAACAUGCUUUCUCAAGCUUCCUACUUUAAAGAAAAAAAGGAGACAUGCUUAUGUGAGGGUAAAUUUUCUCAUGUCUAAAUCAAACGCUUGCUAUUUUUCAAAGAGGAAAAAAUAAAUAAAACAGGCACACAGAGAAGAAAGAAUUCUCUGUGUUAUGACUGCCUUCAGAAUUUGAAACACUGUGUGUUGAACUAUUCAAAGAACUCUCCAGGCGUUUUUGGCCAUCUGAGCAUAAAGGUUAAACUAGAUACAAACAUAUAGAUAAAAUUAAAGAUACAGAUAUUGUAUAAGUUUUUUAGGGCUUCCAUGACAACUCUAGCACCCAUAUGGAUAUAUAUUCGAUAUAUAUUCAUGAAAUUGCUAGUGCUCAUCCCUGUGCUGACACAUAGCAGACCCUUAAUAAACACUAGUUGAAUAAAUGAAUAAACUGAUCUACUAGUGAGAGAAACUUAGUAAGAGUGAACUUCUUUUUCUGUAAUGUGUAGGUUAUGUGUGGCUUACUUACCAACUUAAUUUAGCUAUUUAAGAUAAAUACUUAGUAGCUGCUUUUAUCUAAGCUAAAUAUCUUGUAGUCUUAGGAAGUUUUAGCCUAAUUAUCACUGGAGGCUAUAAGUUGUACUUGGAAACCCUUACUUUGUUUCCAAGUACAACUUAAAAACAGACAUGUUGAUUUUAAAAGCUGCAUGAUUUUAAAAUUUUCUGGCUUGUGAAAAUGAUAAUAAAGCAAUUAUUUGAUGCAAAUAUUAUAAAUAAAUCACAAUCCAAAGCAAGAGUUAUAUUAAAAAUAUGUCUUGGACAACUGUAUCUACAGGAAUAGCUAAAUAAAAUUCUAUAGCAAACUCAGUAAUAUUUUUCUGAAUGAAUCACCCAGUUAUAGAUGUAUUGUAAUUCUAAAUCAAUAAUCUUACAGAUUAAUUAUAGAAACACAGUUUUAAAUUAGUACCGCAAAGCCUGAGAAUCAUGAAUCUCCAAUUUGGUAGAAAACCAUUCAAGUUAUCAAAGAUAUGAUAUAUAUUAAAUACACAAAAUGUUUGUAUGUAGGUAUAUAUAACUGAUACUGCAUUUCCUGAGCUCUACCAGUCGCAUGUUCUACUGAAGAGUAUUUUCUCUCCUAUGAAUGCUUUCUGGCCAAUGGGAUCAUGAUAUCAGUUGAACUAUGUUUCUGCCAAUGAAAGAAAGAUGAAGAAGACCAGCAAAAGAGGCAUAAACCUAAUCUCACAUGAGAAAUUAGUUCACAAUUAAACUUUAAUAAAGUCAGAAGAACAGGGGCAAUCGAGAUAAUUUUGAAAAAAGCCAUUCUUUGUAAACAAGCUUUAAAAUGGGAUUUGAAAACAGCUGUUUUCAUAUUAAACUCUAAGUCAUAAGCACUCUUACCGAAGCACACUUCUUCAAGAAAUAUAUAAUGUUUCAUCUUUGCAGCGUUGAUUAACCAAAGCUGUAACACCCACACUUCACACAAAAUUGCAAAGUGAUCUAAAAUGUUUUAUAUACCAUAAGGACCCUUUCAAAAGCUUAUGAUUACUAUCUUCUCUAAGGAAGUUUAUUAUUCAAAUAUCCAUGUGAGAUAAUGAAAUAUACACAUUUCAAGUCAAUUAAUAAAAGAGCAAAUUUACUUUAGCGAAUGGGUUUGUAACCACCUGAAACCGAGCUUUCCCUUAUAAACCUACUUAGUGCAAAUAGUAACUGUAUAAUAUAUAGGACAUAUUUAUGUAUAUCUCUCAAUAUAGAUUUAUAGAAUGGAAAUAACUUUUAUGCCACAAGGAAAUUAUUUCUAACUGCUGAAUGUUAUAUUCUGUUGUGGUGCCAACUAUGACAAUUUGUCCAUGACUGAGAUGCAGGAUUUCAAUGCUAAAAUCAGCACUGUCCCAGGCAAACUGCACCUGCUGAUCACCCAGUGACAACAUGUAGAGGAUUUUAUCAUAAGAAAACAAACCAAAUGACAACCAAGAACAACAUUAUCAACAAUAAAUAUCAUGUCUCAGAAUCAGUACUCAUCCAGUCUUAACUUUGUGCUGCUAGAGAAAGCCUUUGGUUGGAGGAAAAAUAUAAGGUUGUCUCUGGCUAAAAUGCUGACCAUUCCCACCAAAGGUAAUAAAGUCUACUAAUGACAUUCAGAACAUUCACUUUGUCUCAAAGCCCAAUAAAUUCUGCCUAUUAAGAAUCUCUGGAAAUUCAUAAAUCUGCCCUAGUCUCUAUACUUUCUACUACCAUUGUCUUUAUUUAAGUCUUCAUUAUUGCUCAUCUAGACCUAUGAAAUUGUUCAUGCUUACUUUUUUACCUUUCAAUUUAUCUACACUGUAGUUGGAAUGAUUAUUAAAUUAAUUUUAAGCAAAUCUGAUAAUCUUAUUAUAAUGCUUAACAUUAUCAACUUUUCCCUAAUGCAUCUAAGACUGCGAAUUGGGUGACAAAGGGUAAUCAUAUUUUAUUUGGCUAUUUUUAAAAAAUAAUAUGAACGCCUCAGUUAAUCUAAAUUUCUAUAUAUUCAUCAGAAGGAAUUGUUACAAUCCCAGGUGCUGCAUAAAUUUAUGUUAUUUAUUUGGUCUGUGAGGACAAUUGAGAUUGUACGUAUCAGUGGGCAUUGUUUACAUUUGGAAAAGGAAAUUUAUUCAUUGUGCACUUUGUACAUGUAGAAACCCUAGAUUCAGGACAUUAAAUUUCAACAGCAUCUCUAGCUAUUAAAAAAAAUAUAUGUAAACCUCCAUAUAUUUCCAAGUACACCCUGAGUAAGAGGGUAAUGCCAACAAUUGAGAAACACUGGACAUAAUAAAACAUUAUAGACNCUAAUUUUUAAAAAUAAUUUCCCUGUAACUUUAAUGUCCAUAGAUUAUGUAAUAAAUGAAAUAUGGAAAUUUUAUAUAUGUACAUAAAACAUUAAUGUGUAUUAUACACUUUGUCAUAUGUUUUUUAUAUGUAUAUAUGUUUUAUACAUUUAUAUACUUACCGGUAUAAGUUUCUACCUGGAAUAAAAAAUUAUUUUUGUGAAAUUUGAUAAUAUACCUAGAAGUAAGAUUUUUUUCUGCAUCAUACUAUUUUUUACUUGGUAAUGUACAUUCAUUUUAACUACUAGAUUAUAUUCCAUUGUGUAAAUAUAACACAUUACUCCUUUAUAGUAGGGCAUAUAAUUUGUUCCCUGGUGGUAUGCACUUUUGCCCUUUCAGUGAAUAAUGUUGUGCAUGUCUCUCUGAGUACAUAUGGGAAAAUAUCUCUGGAUUAUAUAUUUUUAAUUAAAUGUUUUGAUAUAACUGUAGAUUCAAAUGGUAAUUGUAUGAAAUGAUGUAGAAAGACCCC
rnacentral:lncRNA from 1 species